UGCUUGACGACAUUAGAGCUGUGGAACCACCUGAACCCAUUCCGAACUCAGAAGUGAAACGCAGCAUCGCCGAUGGUAGUGUGGGGCUUCCCCAUGUGAGAGUAGGUCAUCGUCAAGCUC
rnacentral:rRNA from 1 species